UCCAGACUCCUACGGGAGGCAGCAGUGAGGAAUAUUGGUCAAUGGGCGCGAGCCUGAACCAGCCAAGUCGCGUGAGGGAUGACGGCCCUACGGGUUGUAAACCUCUUUUGCCGGGGAGCAACGGGCGCCACGUGUGGCGCCACUGAGAGUACCCGGAGAAAAAGCAUCGGCUAACUCCGUGCCAGCAGCCGCGGUAAUACGGAGGAUGCGAGCGUUAUCCGGAUUUACUGGGUGUAAAGGGAGCGUAGACGGCAGCGCAAGUCUGGAGUGAAAUCCCAUGGCUUAACCAUGGAACUGCUUUGGAAACUGUGCAGCUGGAGUGCAGGAGAGGUAAGCGGAAUUCCUAGUGUAGCGGUGAAAUGCGUAGAUAUUAGGAGGAACACCAGUGGCGAAGGCGGCUUACUGGACUGUAACUGACGUUGAGGCUCGAAGGCGUGGGGAGCAAACAGGAUUAGAUACCCGUGUA
rnacentral:rRNA from 1 species